rnacentral:lncRNA from 1 species
UCAUUUUCAGAAAGUGAGGCAAAAUGUAACAACUCACAGAACCCCAUGGAGCAUUCCAGUGACAAAAACCAGGCUGUGUGGAGCUCCAGGCCGGCGUGUGCCUAUUUUCGCCUGGGUCACGGGUCUAGGCUGGGAUUCCGCGUCUGUGCACUGCUUGUCACGGUAGUGUGAGCCGAGGAGACGCUCAUCAAGCAGGUGAUCUCAGCACGAGAUGCUCACAAUGCGAGCCCCAGUGCCUCUAACAAAGGCAGACCGCAUUAACUCCCCGGUGUGGCUGUGUGUGAGCCCUGAGAUGCUGCUGCUCACAGUAAUGUUAACAACUGAAUGAUUAUGUGAAGAUUCUGUAAUUUUCAUAUGGCCUCUUAAAAAACUAUUGUGACACUUAGAAAUCUGAUCUUUAAACAGUUGAAGACUGAAAAUAUAUUAAAUUCUGUCCUCAAUGUCAAGAUUUCAAUUGUGGGAUGAGCAAAGCGGAUUUCAGAGCCUUUGGUGAUGCAUCCAAGGCCCCGCAAUGGGGAGGUGGCAGAGGCUGGAUUUCAGUGCAGCUCUUCUUACUGCAAAGAUCUGUAUCAUGCACCACUCUGAACCCACCAGCCUCCACUGAUGGAG